AGCGAACGCUGGCGGCAGGCUUAACACAUGCAAGUCGAGCGGGCACUUUCGGGUGUCAGCGGCGGACGGGUGAGUAACGCGUGGGAACGUGCCCUCUGGUUCGGAAUAACUCAGGGAAACUUGAGCUAAUACCGGAUACGCCCUUUUGGGGAAAGGUUUGCUUGCGGAGGAUCGGCCCGCGUCUGAUUAUCUAGUUGGUGAGGUAACGGCUCACCAAGGCGACGCUCAGUAGCUGGUCUGAGAGGAUGAUCAGCCACACUGGGACUGAGACACGGCGCAGACUCCUACGGGAGGCAGCAGUGGGGAAUAUUGGACACUGCGCGAAUGCCUGAUCCAGCCGUGCCGCGUGAGUGAUGAAGGACUUAGGGUUGUAAAGCUCUUUUAUCAGGGACGAUAAUGACGGUACCGGAGGAAUAAGCCCCGGCUAACUUCGUG
rnacentral:rRNA from 1 species